rnacentral:lncRNA from 1 species
AUAGGAAUCACAAUCCUGUUGAGCUUCAUUUCAGAUCUCCUGAAGACCUCCCUCGCCCUCUCGUCUCCUAUCGCCAACCACCUGACCCAGAGUGGAAAGGUCCUGCGCCGCUUCUUACUUGGGGACGGGGAUACGCUGCGGUUUCUCUGGAUAAGGGAGCAGUUUGGAUUCCAGCAAAAUGCGUCCGCCCCUGGCGUUCCACCCCUACAUCAUUGGACUCCUAGGAUUUUCCACACUAUUUCGUCUUCCUCCAGUUUAUGCUCCAGGAACUACAGGGAACUCGUGGGUUCAACACGCCACAUAUAUGUUUGAUGUUCAUGGAAAGAAUGUAUCUCUUCUGUAUGAAUCUCCUGUUUCAGUAGCCUCUAUGAGCUUACUUCCUGCGCUUAUUGAUGAUCCUGCUUUAAUUCUUGCUUCCCUCCAUGCUGUCUCUGAACAGCGGACAGAACUGCUUUUCCAUAAUGUUCCCCCCCAGUCUGAUAUGUCUCCUGUCCGUUGGUUUCAAUACACCCGUCGCACUCGUGGGUUAUGCUUUUGCUGCACUCAUAAAGGAUACUGGAAUUCCAGAGUCCCUGGCUAUAACAAAUAUGCUCCCCGUUUCGAAAGGCUCAGGAACUACACCUCAUGCUCCAACAACUUCUGGCUUUCUGCCAAAGAUGGGGGAAAAUUUGGGUAUUCUAAUGCCUCUCUCACUCCUACUGGGCUUGUAAAUGUUUCAACUGCAAAUUCCACCUUGUCUGAUAUCUAUCCUAACUUUCCUUUCAUGCAAGCUAGCUUUACUGCCUCUGGCUCUAUCUGUGGUCAUAUGUUUCUUAAGGACCCUAACCUAUGGUUCUUUUUCGAUCAAUACGCCACUAAUUACCACCCUGGUCACUCUGCCGGGGCUUGUGUUGGUAUUGGCUUUCUCACCUUCCCUGUUCAGGUCAUUGACUCGUCUCAUUCUUCUGUUUUUCCUUCUCCUACUUCUUCUACCCCCGCUACCUCCCCUUCUAUCUCUUUCAGCUUAAA